AUUCAGGAGGAAUGAGUGCAAAGUUUGUAUAUUAAUAGCUACACUUUUGGUGGUGUUUUUGGUAAGUGUGGUGGCCUUUUUCUGUGGGCUUUGGGUGGAACUUCCUGACCACUUGAGUUGAAGUGAUAACAGGCUUUGCAGUUCUUCAGCAAAGUGCACUGUCACUUACAGACCAUUGACAACCCCAGAAAUGAACAGACACAUUGACAGUUCUUCAGGAAGAUGAUCUCUUUUGUUCUGGUCCAUCAUAUCGAAAGUCAGGGGUAUUUGAACCCAGUGUAAUUAGAGCAGCUUUCGUGAGUAUGUAACUAAUUCAGUUACAUACUUCCAUUAAGGAGAACAUAUUUUGAUAAAAUAAAGACUUCAUAGAAUAACCUUUGUUUGUUCCUUCCUUCCUUCCUGCCUGCCUGCCUUUCUUUUUUUCUUUCUUUUUCUUUCAGGAAAGCCUUGAAUGCAGUCUUUCCACUACCACAAAUUAUGCAUAGGAAAUGCCAGGAGUCAGCAUAUCCUGGAGUGUCAAAAGUAAGUCUCGGCAUGGGGACACCUACAUGAUCAUAUAUCCUCUGCCAGUGCGGGGAUUACAGAUGUCCAUGAGACCAUGCCUGGCUUCUUAUCAACUCCUCCUGAUUGUACAUCAAAAUCUCUAAACCCUUCAAGUUGUUCUUAAUAUAAAGAAGAGGGCUGGGUGUUACAGGAAGCAGAGCUGAGAUGAAGCAGAUGAAUCCUGUCCAGGACAGUUGGCCUUGAUCUUUGUAUCUGUUCCCAAUCAAAAUAAUAGAGUUAGAGUCAACAGGACCCAAAGAGAUCAUGUGAAUAUUCAUGUUGAAAAGGAACUUUCUGGGCCAUUUGAAAGACAGAUUUCCUGUUUUGUUGAUCGACAUCACAGGAAUGGUUGCUGAUUUCUUGUUCCAGAGCCCCCAUUCUAACCCAGCGCACAAGUGAAGGCUGGGAGUCUUGUGGGUGCUGGGCCAGGUCCUAUGGAGCUUGUCUUACCUUAGCUGCUCCGCCAGUGAGAACCUCAAUUUCUUCGAUAUGUCAAAGAAAAAGACCAUCAAAUCCAUUCUUCUUGAAGUACACAAAGGUUCUGGGAAUACUUUUGGAAAAGCACUACUUUUAGUCAGACGAUUUCUCUCCCUUUGGCUUUGGCAGUUUGAGGAGUCUGGACAGAAGGCUUUCAAGCUCUGCAGUGCCAAGUGUAAGCAGGGUCGCCUAGCUUAAGUCACCCACCAUGUGGAAGCUUCGGUUGUUUAUAGAAAGAUCCUUGGCAGUUUAUUUAACUUUCUGUAAACGAGGAACUAAUGAAAACCUCCCUCUUCCAUUCUAACCAUUGCCAGGUUUUAGAGAAUAAUCCCUUCAUGUUUUUGCCUGCAGCCAUUACUUUUCUGAACUCAAAUAUCAUGUCCUGAAUAGCAAUAAUCUAUUGAUCUGAAAAGACAGCUCAUACGUGUAUCAAUCCAAAAAGCCAGUUCCUGAAGCUAGGCUUGUCCUUUAGUAGAAACCCCAGAUAAGAAUUCUAUACAGAAUGUAUGUGUGUGUGUGUACAUGUACAAGUGCUUGACAAUGAACUGAGAAUAAUACAUUUCAAGAAUUUCUUAGAAUGAAUUCUUUUUUCUUUUUUUUUUUUUCCCGAGACAGGGUUUCUCUGUGUAGCCCUGACUGACCUGGAACUCACUCUGUAGACCAGGCUGGCCUCGAACUCUGAAAUCUGCCUCUGCCUCCCGAGUGCUGGGAUUAGAGGCGUGUGCCACCACCGCCUGGCUUAGAAUGAAUUCUUAAUUAGAAGAUUUUAGAGUGGGGCUGGAGAGAUGGCUCAGUGGGUAAGAGCACCCAACUGCUCUUCCAAAGGUCCUGAGUUCAAAUCCCAGCAACCACAUGGUGGCUCACAACCAUCCUUAAUGAGAUC
rnacentral:lncRNA from 1 species